AUCAGGCUCAGGACGAACGCCGGUGGCGUGCUUAACACAUGCAAGUCGAACGCUGAAGCUCCAGCUUGCUGGGGUGGAUGAGUGGCGAACGGGUGAGUAAUACGUGAGUAACCUGCCCUUGACUUUGGGAUAAGCCUGGGAAACCGGGUCUAAUACAGGAUACGACGUCCUGCCGCAUGGUGGGGCGUGGAAAGGGUUUUACUGGUUUGGGAUGGGCUCACGGCCUAUCAGCUUGUUGGUGGGGUAAUGGCCUACCAAGGCGACGACGGGUAGCCGGCCUGAGAGGGUGACCGGCCACACUGGGACUGAGACACGGCCCAGACUCCUACGGGAGGCAGCAGUGGGGAAUAUUGCACAAUGGGCGCAAGCCUGAUGCAGCGACGCCGCGUGAGGGAUGACGGCCUUCGGGUUGUAAACCUCUUUCAGCAGGGAAGAAGCCACAAGUGACGGUACCUGCAGAAGAAGCGCCGGCUAACUACGUGCCAGCAGCCGCGGUAAUACGUAGGGCGCAAGCGUUGUCCGGAAUUAUUGGGCGUAAAGAGCUCGUAGGCGGUUUGUCGCGUCUGCUGUGAAAGCCCGGGGCUCAACCCCGGGUCUGCAGUGGGUACGGGCAGACUAGAGUGCAGUAGGGGAGACUGGAAUUCCUGGUGUAGCGGUGAAAUGCGCAGAUAUCAGGAGGAACACCGAUGGCGAAGGCAGGUCUCUGGGCUGUUACUGACGCUGAGGAGCGAAAGCAUGGGGAGCGAACAGGAUUAGAUACCCUGGUAGUCCAUGCCGUAAACGUUGGGCACUAGGUGUGGGGGACAUUCCACGUUCUCCGCGCCGUAGCUAACGCAUAAGUGCCCCCCCCGCC
rnacentral:rRNA from 1 species